rnacentral:rRNA from 1 species
AGUGAACGCUGGCGGUAGGCCUAACACAUGCAAGCCGAACGGCAGCACAGUAAGAGCUUGCUCUUACGGGUGGCGAGUGGCGGACGGGUGAGGAAUACAUCGGAAUCUACUUUUUCGUGGGGGAUAACGUAGGGAAACUUACGCUAAUACCGCAUACGACCUACGGGUGAAAGCAGGGGAUCUUCGGACCUUGCGCGAUUGAAUGAGCCGAUGUCGGAUUAGCUAGUUGGCUGGGUAAAGGCCCACCAAGGCGACGAUCCGUAGCUGGUCUGAGAGGAUGAUCAGCCACACUGGAACUGAGACACGGUCCAGACUCCUACGGGAGGCAGCAGUGGGGAAUAUUGGACAAUGGGCGCAAGCCUGAUACAGCCAUACCGCGUGGGUGAAGAAGGCCUUCGGGUUGUAAAGCCCUUUUGUUGGGAAAGAAAAGCAGCAGGUUAAUACCCCGCUGUCCUGACGGUACCCAAAGAAUAAGCACCGGCUAACUUCGUG